rnacentral:rRNA from 1 species
AUUGAACGCUGGCGGCAUGCUUUACACAUGCAAGUCGAACGGCAGCGCGGACUUCGGUCUGGCGGCGAGUGGCGAACGGGUGAGUAAUAUAUCGGAACGUACCCAAGAGUGGGGAUAACGUAGCGAAAGUUACGCUAAUACCGCAUACGAUCUAAGGAUGAAAGCAGGGGAUCGCAAGACCUUGUGCUCCUGGAGCGGCCGAUAUCUGAUUAGCUAGUUGGUGAGGUAAAGGCUCACCAAGGCAACGAUCAGUAGCUGGUCUUGAGAGGACGACCAGCCACACUGGAACUGAGACACGGUCCAGACUCCUACGGGAGGCAGCAGUGGGGAAUAUUGGACAAUGGGCGCAAGCCUGAUCCAGCCAUGCCGCGUGUGUGAAG